GGCCACAUCUGCCAGAGCCUGGAGUCUGCGAAGGCCGGGACCCGGUUCCCCGGCCCACAGUGGGGGUGUGCAAACCCGAGAGAACUGGUCGCUGAAACCUCUACAACUUAGUUGACCGUAACUGCCAGAGCCCUGCCCUGAAUUCCUGUCCUUACUCCCUCUUUAAGAUUGCGUACCCACUGCAGAGUGCUGAAGACGGGGUAGCCACGAGGUUGCAAAUUCGUGAAGAAUCAGCAUCAUGUUUGGCAGCUGAGUAUUGGAGCCAGGAGCCUGCCAUGAGGUUAUAUUCCCAGAGGAUGUCAGUCCCAAGGACCAGUAGCUGCCAUCAGUUUGGAUUCUGAAAACUAACUGGCAUCAACACUGGGUGUAGAAACAUGCUUGCCUUAUGUAUCAGAGGACAUGCUCAGCAGAUCCAAGAGAUAUAUUUGGCAACUUUUUCUAGAAAAGGCACAUUGGGUAUCAUUCAUUACAUUCUUGAGUUUUUUUGGGUUUUUUUUUUUUUUUUUGAGACAGUCUUGCUGUAUUGCCCAGGCUGGAGUGUGGUGGCACAAUCACAGCUCAUUGCAUCCUCAAUCACCCAGGCCUAAGCAAUCCUCCCACCUUGUAGCUGGGACUACAGCUCACAGCACACCUGGCUAAAAUUUUUUUUUUGUUGAGACGGAUUCUCUAUGUUGCCCAGGCUGGUCUCAGGCUCCUGGGCUCAGAUGGUCCUCCUGCCUCAGCUUCCAAAGGCACAGGCCAAGUUGUAGCUUUGUCCCUUGCCAUCAUGCCCAACAAGAGGUUCUAUACCUUUUAAUGAAUUGACUUUCAUAAAUUGGUUAUGUUGGUGGGCAAAGUUCUUUAAGCUGGAAAUUGUAAAUUCCUCCUGAAAUGUUUUUUCAUGCAGUUACCAUGAACUAAUACUACAAUAAAGGAUGGUCUUGGGUGUCAAUUCUU
rnacentral:lncRNA from 10 species